GCAAAAUGGCCGAGAGGGUCAUUGUACAUCCCGAGAGGAAUCGCCUAAAUUUUCUAAAAGUUUAAAGUUUAUCGAAUUAACUAUGCAGCUCCAGGUAUAUCACUUAUAAUAUGGGAGUUUUAUUAUUACCGUAGCUGCACUUGUUGUUGGAGCUGACCAUUUUUAGGACAUCAGUAAUUCGUGGAAAAAAAAGUCAAGCUAUUGGAAAGUGAUGGCAAUAUUUUGUAAGACAGGUGGACUACAAAAAUUAUCUCUGGAUUUACUUCAGAUGUGUUCGAGAGUUUAUUGCGGAAAUUUUUUUUCUUUUAGUCUUUGUCCGACAUCGCGAGCUGUAUUUAUGCGAGUUAGAUGUUGAAAUUUAUAAGAAAGUUUUGGAUAAAGAGUUGUUCAAUUGCUAGUUAUUCAUAGUGACAAAUCUUCGGAAGAAAAAAUGGCAAAAUAUUAAAUUUUAACAUUAUGUCACAGUAGUAUAUCGCGUUGAUGAUUAAUUAGCGCUAUAGCGAAUCAAUCUUGUUAUGAAACAAAAAUAUCAGGAGAAAAUUAUUUUUAUCACUGUCCGAAAGUAUCACAGAACAAUGGAACUAUCAUAUUGUUCUGGUUUGUUAUAAAAUAUUGACAUAUUGUGUGAAAUGAUGGACGAAUAGAAAUUUCUAAAAUCAAUUUUUUAGUGGGUAAGGAAUUCCGGUUCGUUUAAGAUGGUCACAUGAUUAUCAUAUGAUGAUGGUGAUCAUUACAUGAUGGAUCAUGCAGUCUUCUUUUCGCAUUCAGAAACGAUGUUUUUAUUAUAUGAAUUAGGAUUCCGUGUUUCGAUUAAUUUAGGAAAGCCUUCUAAUUAUUUAUGGGCGUUCAAUUCUAGUUUAUAUGAAGACAUUCGUUUUGUCGUAUGUUAAAGAAGGAUUCUUUCCAAAAUCAUUUACUUUUCAAACUCUUCGCAUAAAUCUAUCUUUAUCUAAAUUAGAAUUAAAUUUCAAUAAGCUACUCCUAAUUUAAUAGCAAAAGCGGAAACCGUUUCAUACAAGGAGAACAGCAGCUCUGAUUUUAAAAAGAUGAGUCCUUUAUACAAAUCAGCAUUCAAUUAUAAUGCUGAAUUUCGAAUGACAAGAAGGUGCGAUGAUAAAUAAUCUUUUAAAUAGACUAUUAGUUAUUCACAGAGAAAUGUUUGACUGCUCUUACAUUUGUUGACUUUAUGUAAGUUACCUAAAUAUACUGAUAUAAAUUAAAAAUUUUCAUUUUAUACAAGACCACCCAGUGAGGUAAGUUUACUGAAAAUCAGUGGUACGCCAUCAGAUGCGACUCAAGUGCAUUCUUCUUCCCCACUUUACAAAUUACCAUCGUAUAACAAGAUUGAUUUUCAGCGCUGCAACGCUAAUUGUUCAUAAACGAGCGAGCGUUACUGUGGCUCUAUUUAUGUUUAAAGAUAAAUCAUCAAAAUAACAAUGGAAACAAAUGCAAAACAUUCUGCUCUUUUACAAACGAAUUUUUCCUAAUUUUUUUUGUAAUUUUAAUAAACAAAACGAAGAUUUUGACUCGUCACACUAUAUAAAUGUUCAACUAAACCUGUUUUACUUUAAAUUCGUUCUAUUCGAAAUUGAUACAUUCAAAUCCCCGAAUACUGUUUACAAUCGAAGUCGAUACCACUACCUUGAAGUAUUUUUACAAAAUUUGCGAAAUUUCGAGAAGAAAAAUAAUUGUAAAUUGUGAAAUUGUAAUUGAAUAGAUACAGUAUGAUACAUUUUACGGGGUCUAAAAAGCCUGCGUAUUUACAACAAGGAUAGCUAAAACAUAUGAAAAAAAUAAAACGUGACAUAAUUUGAAGA